UACGAAGGGGGCUAGCGUUGCUCGGAAUCACUGGGCGUAAAGGGCGCGUAGGCGGCGUUUUAAGUCGGGGGUGAAAGCCUGUGGCUCAACCACAGAAUGGCCUCGAUACUGGGACGCUUGAGUCUGGUAGAGGUUGGUGGAACUGCGAGUGUAGAGGUGAAAUUCGUAGAUAUUCGCAAGAACACCGGUGGCGGAGGCGGCCAACUGGACCAGCACUGACGCUGAGGCGCGAAAGCGUGGGGAGCAAACAGG
rnacentral:rRNA from 1 species